rnacentral:rRNA from 1 species
AGAGUUUGAUCAUGGCUCAGAUUGAACGCUGGCGGCAUGCCUUACACAUGCAAGUCGAACGGUAGAGUAGCAAUACUUGAGAGUGGCGAACGGGUGAGUAAUAUAUCGGAACGUGCCCAAUCGUGGGGGAUAACGUAGCGAAAGUUACGCUAAUACCGCAUACGAUCUACGGAUGAAAGCGGGGGAUCGCAAGACCUCGCGCGAAUGGAGCGGCCGAUAUCAGAUUAGCUAGUUGGCGGGGUAAAAGCCCACCAAGGCAACGAUCUGUAGCUGGUCUGAGAGGACGACCAGCCACACUGGGACUGAGACACGGCCCAGGCUCCUACGGGAGGCAGCAGUGGGGAAUUUUGGACAAUGGGCGCAAGCCUGAUCCAGCAAUGCCGCGUGCAGGACGAAGGCCUUCGGGUUGUAAACUGCUUUUGUACGGAACGAAACGGUCCUUUCUAAUACAGGGGGCUAAUGACGGUACCGUAAGAAUAAGCACCGGCUAACUACGUGCCAGCAGCCGCGGUAAUACGUAGGGUGCGAGCGUUAAUCGGAAUUACUGGGCGUAAAGCGUGCGCAGGCGGUUAUAUAAGACAGUUGUGAAAUCCCCGGGCUUAACCUGGGAACUGCAUCUGUGACUGUAUAGCUAGAGUACGGCAGAGGGGGAUGGAAUUCCGCGUGUAGCAGUGAAAUGCGUAGAUAUGCGGAGGAACACCGAUGGCGAAGGCAAUCCCCUGGGCCUGUACUGACGCUCAUGCACGAAAGCGUGGGGAGCAAACAGGAUUAGAUACCCUGGUAGUCC